CCUACGGGAGGCAGCAGUGGGGAAUAUUGGACAAUGGGGGAAACCCUGAUCCAGCGACGCCGCGUGUGUGAAGAAGGCCUGCGGGUUGUAAAGCACUUUCGGUGGGAACGAAAUAUGCCGGGCCAAUACCCCGGCAGGCUGACGUUACCCAAUGAAGAAGCACCGGCUAACUCUGUGC
rnacentral:rRNA from 1 species